GACACAAAGGGAAGGAGAGAGAAUCCCAAGCAGGCUCCAUGCUGUCGGUGCAGAGCCCAACAUGGGGCUCAAACUCACGAACGUGAGGUCAUGACCUGAGCUGAAAUCGAGAGUCAGGCGCUUACCCGACUGAGCCGCUCAGGCACCCUGAAUUUAGUUUUGGAUUAAGUUAGCCCAUGUUGGUGUUUCUUUGCUUGGAACUAAAGAACUCCCCCUCAGAUAAGAACCCCAAAUAUUUCAUUGAAUAUGCUCAUCUCUGUCUGGCUCUGGAUAGAAAGUCAAUUUCUCCCCGCACACCCUCGGCCUCAACAUCCUAGCCCAAAUAUUUUCAGCUUAGGGAAAAAUGAGUCCUCCCCCUUAAAUAGGAACUGUGACAUGCUGGGUCGUAUGAAAGCACUGGCGAUUUUUUUCCCCCUUCCUUUUUCCAUGAAUGCAAACUUCUUACCAUGUCUCACCCAGGGGCAGCCAAACAUCUCCUCUCAAAAGGACCCUUCAGAGAGGAGAGGGAGUGAGGGCCUGCCCACCACCCGAGUCUCACGCAUUGCUGCUGUAGGACCUGGCUUUGCUCAUCCUAUGGUCCUCGAGCUAUAAAGCAGGCUCUGGCAUCGACCUCAGAGAUCGGUCACCUCUAGCAGAAGCACCUCAGACCCUAUGAAAAAGGUCGUCGGACAUCAAAAAGCAGUGCUCUCAACCACACGGGGCUGUGUCACAGGCAGUGCCGGAAGAAUAGCCCCACCCACCCUAGCAAAAUCUUUCUUCUCCAUCACAGCUCCGCGCAGAGGCAACAUCAACACGAACGGUGCAGGACGGGCAAGGACCCUCGAUUGCCGCCACAGCCACUGCUGCUGGACAAGCGUGGACAAGAUCUCCCAGCUCCAGAGGACAUGUUUUACAUCUCAAGGCAUCUCUUCCUGCAUUUGAUGCAUCUCAAAAUCCCAUAAGGGAAGAAGAUGCCGAGACAGAACGAGGAGUACAUAAGGUUUUGGGGGGAGUAACACCUGGGAGGAAAUGUGAGGAAGCAAGAAUGGUCAUGAGGAAGGCACCCGAUCAGGAUACGGAGCAAAAGCGCCUGUUGGAUCCGAGUCCUCAUCAGGAGGAAAUGGCCAGGUCUUUGUUCCAUGGCCUUGCUCACUUACUGGCUAGUGCCACUCAGAACCGUGUGUGACUUUGGCUCAAAAGUUGCUCACAGAGGAGGCUGUGAGCUAGCUACCCUCUCCAUCGCUGGGCAGGGAGUCCCAUCUUACAGGGGUAGCUGGGUAGUGUAUCUGUAUCUGCCACACCCCACCUUCCCCCUGACUCUGUGAGGCGAUUUUACCCUUCGUGGUUCUUCAUGAAGACAACAGAACUCUAUAAAUGACAGUGUGUGAAUUGCCCUUGGGAAAUAGGCCAUCUCUCAACCAGCAACAUUAGAAAGAAAGUUAUAACCAUACGUCAGUAUAGUUGAAUCAGCUAAAAAGUGAGGUGCCCCUAGGAUAUGGGACUGCGUUUCAUUUAAGCAGAAUCUCCUUCUGCAGAGGGAGCGCCUUGCGAAUCUGAAAUAAGAUCAGAGAAGGGCUUGCUGCAGCAGUCUGGCCAUCCUCUGCCGACGAACGUGAACCCUCGUGAACAGGUGAGUCCUGCCCGUUUACUGUGGGGAAGUCCCUUUGCUAAGAAAGAUGAAGCAGUCCCAGGAUGGUAGGAAGCAGCCUCGGGAAGGAGCCUUAGGAAGAAGGAGUCUAUUCUAAGGUCAGUCCCUUCACUUAGCCUGGGCUAUGAGGGUGUAUUGAGCAAGUGGCAUCAAGAAAAAGACCGAAAGCGAUCCAGCUAGUGGAAACUAUCUGCGACAUCAAACCUGAGAAUGGGGGCCAUGGCCUGUUAGUUCAGUUUCAAACACGGGAACAGUUAACCUCCAAAGAUUCAUCUUCCAGAAGCUACCAUGAUGGUUUCCAAGGGAGAGCCUACGUAGACCAAGGAGAGCGGAGGGGAGAUGGGAGACAAGGAAAGCCGGGCCAUCCCCUAGCCUUGCCUCCAGCUUCCUUCAGAAGAGUGGUCCCAUCCUUAUCUGUUGUAUUUCUUAGGAUUGUGUGUGAGGUUACAUUUAAGAAAAGGUUCUUUCACGAAGAUAAAUGCGUCCGAUAACUACAGUUUCCUCAGUCUCCCCUGAAAUCUACUGAAAUAGAAUCUCCCAGGAGUGUGUUCUUCCACAAUGCUGCUCAAUGCGCCCCCUGAUAGGAUGGGUAGCUGGACGAUAGAUGACAUAGAUAGAUGGUAGAUAGAUAGAUAGAUAGAUAGUAUAUUUACCAACAUACUAAUAUAUAAUGCAUAUUGUAACAUACACACAAAAGUAGAAAAUUUUAAAUGAAUGUAAUAGAGGCUCUAGUAUUUUCUCUUUGCACCCAAGGGAUCAUCUUGAUUUCCCCUGAUGUAGGCACACCUUGCACUGGAGCUUUCUCAGUCUUAUCUACGAUAGCAAGAACGUGUGGGAAAGGAAGGGAUGACGCAACCCUGCUUACAGGUGUAAAUCCAUCCCACGGUGUUUAAUGGCCCCCGAGCCACUGAGAUAGCGAGCGGCACGCUCCGUCCUAGCCCAUUCCUUCCUCUGUACCAGGGGUAGGGCUUAGGGGUAGAGUGCAUAGUGACUGUCGUUGAUUACUACACGGUGGGAAAAGAAUAAAUGUCUUUUUCCAGACCAGAUGGAUCCUUUCUCCCUCUCCCCUUUGAGCACAGAUGAAAUCCAACUUAAGCAAAAUUGAUAUUUCAAAACUGAGCUCCAAUGUUUAGAACAACGAGUGGAGCUGCUGACGCUUUAGUUGCUGGAAUGUUCUCUAGCUCAACUCUGAAGGUCCAUCGUCAGCAUGUGGGCCUGAUGUCUGGGCAACAAUCAGAGAAGGACCAGUGUGAGGGGCAUUGUCCCCGGGCAAGGUGGGUGGAGAGGAGACUGCAAGGCCCGAGCGGGCAAAGGCAAGGCUCGUCAACACCGCGGGGACUUAGGACGUAUGAGAAAGGCACCACAUGUGUUUGUGUCACUUCUGUGACUCAGCUUCUAUUUCAGCCACUGAUAAAUAAAGGACUGUUUCCAGGUAUGCUAUGUUUGGUUAAACCCUAAACUUGGACAUUAAGUAUAGCCCUAAGGUUCCCAAGACUACAUUGCUCUAAACCACAAUUAUUUCACACAUGCUGGAGUGAAAAGAAAAUUAAAAUUAGAAGCAUAAAGAAAAUGAAAUAAGUGUCUGUGGGUUUCCCACACAACCUGCAAAUCUCCCUUCUGUAACAGUACAACACAGCAGUUCUGCUUCUGUUUUGACAGCUCUUUCCACCUCGGGGACCCAUUUUCGGUACUGUUUCCCCAAUGUGUUUCCCCCCCCUCCCCGUUUUGUUCAUUCACAGUCUCUCUCCCCACCCCCCCACGCCUUUCCUUCCAAAUUCCCAGGUGCCAAUCUGCUUUUCCAACUCCACCUCCAGAUACGUGUACGGGCUUUGCCCCAAAGCCUCCCUAGUGAGCAGUAUCACUUUCUGGGGAUAGUAAGCACUGAGUCAUUGCCUCCUUCUUACCACAGUUUCCAAAACACAGUCUUAUUUCACCCUUGUCUCUACCCAGAUCUCCGAAAGUCUGGGCCACCAUGUACGUAAACAGACUCCUAAUGGGGGAUCCCCGGCCCAUCUUCCUAACACCCUCUCACUCUCUAUCCCUCCUCGAUGUCUGUCCUCCCAAAAGUCGGAAGAAAGCAGAGCUUAAGGGACUAGGACCCUUCAGGAUCCAUCCUUCUCUGUAACUCAGACACCUGGUCAACAGAGGAAAACACGCUUCUGCUAUGAAAACAAGGCUCGGAGAUUUGUAGAGAAUGGCACCGUGAAGACAAGAUAGUACCAUGGUCCGUUCCCUCUCAGCGGCACCACCUGGGCAGGAACGGUACAACCUAAAGAUGAGCCCAGAUUGUCUCUGAAGUGGGUAGCUAAGCGAAUUGUAUUCUUUUGUUGUUGUUGUUGUUGUUGUUGUUCUCCCAGCCCCAGUGAGAAGCAGCAAGGGAUUUAAAUGCGAGUAGUUGAAGACGAAAGUUCUCAGAUUUUUAUGUUAAAUACAAGUGUACUUAUCCCUUGAUCAUAGCCAUACAAGGCAGCACCUUUAAGACACUGAUCUGAGGGGGAUGCACGUUCAAAAUGAGAACACUGCUAGGCAGCAAAAUCAAUCAGAUUGCCCUCUUAGAUACACCCAAGGUGAAGCAGCUUGAACUGGGUGUUCCUACCUCUUUCGAUCCUCCCCCUGCUGGAAAAAUCGGUCUCCUGGUGACUCAGAAUUAGUUCAAGAUACUUCCCCACACCCUUACUCUCUGUCAAGAUCAAGCCUGUUCCCCGCUGAUUUCCAACACUGACCCCACACGCCCUCAGGUGAUCCCUCUACCAAGGCGCGCACAGCUUUCCAUUCGGGAGGCAAAGGACAGCGUGUAUAGCAGCCUGUGCCUUUAAAGCUCCUCAAAGCCCUGCCCCAGCCUUCCCGGAGGAAUGUAUUCAGGAAUUCUUGAGCCCACCAUACCUUCAUUUUCCAGAAGAGGAAAUGCCUUCUCGUCUUCCAGAACUGCUGCUUGUCUGGCUUAGAUUUUAGAGGCAGCGUGAUCUAGAACACUUGCAAAUGCGUGCUCGUUGCAAGACUACUGAAAUAGAACAAACCAAGCCAACGACAACAACAGAGGAGGAUGGGUAAAGCGUCCCCAUGAAUAAAAUGGGGUGUUGCCCCUGAAAUGAUGCAGUGGGGGUGGGGCCCCUGCAAGGAGUCCGCUCACCUGGUCCCCAGGCCUCAAAAAAGAAUUUGCAUUCCACAGGGCUGCCCGAUGGCACACGGCAGAUCACCUAAUGUUCCUUCUGCAACAUGUUCAAUCAUAUUUGGGAAUUAGCAUCUAACUCGGGAGCUACCUGUCUCAGGGUGGAUCCAUGAACAUGACAUAAACCCAGUGCUCGACAGCCCCAGUGACUCAAGUAACCAGAGGUCAAUCGAUCCUUCUUCUGUCUUCAUCUACCUCCCGAACAGAGCUCUCAGCCAGGACUGUCUGCGGCUGCCUCUGAUCCCUUUUCCGGUGCCCUUCUUCCAGAACAUGUGAAGGAAGCAGAGGUUAAGGAACCAGGACUUCCAGGAUCCAGUUCUCUUCUGUAUGUCAGUGAUCAGAUAGAGUAUUUUCGCUGCCAAGGAAGACUCUGAACCUCUUAGAUCUGAGGAUCAACAGCCAUCAAUAACCACAACUCCUCUCAUCUCCUUGGAGACCACAGACCAUACAGGUACCUCUCUGUUUUGUUUUCUAAAGGCCACGACUUAACCGUGCCAUGGAGAAUUAACCAUGGAGGGUCAAGUCACCUCUUCUGUGUUGUAUGAUCCUGAGUCCUUGAGCAUAAGAAACAGAAAUCAAGUCUGGAUUAACUGAAACAGAAACGAUAUUUGUCGUCAGGGUUUAGCGACGUUCACAGAAUAGGCAGGAAGGCGGGAGAGGGAGGCUUGGGAAAAAGAAACUAGAGCAGGUCUGAGGAUCCAGGGAACAGUAAGCACCGUCAAGAUCAUGUCUUAGGAAGAACUCGUUCAAGACAUGUUGUGGCUACUACCGGUGGUCUAGCUGACCUCCUUCUGCUGUUACCACCAUUUCUGCUGAUUAAAGUAUUUCUUUGUGUCCCUCCAUCCUACGCCAUGAUCAAGAGACUCCGUGUCCUGCAAAGGAGCAUCUGACUGGAUAAGCGGAGGUUACAGCCCACGCUGCCAGAACUCAGAAGUUCCCUCUUCAGGCUUCUAUAGGAGGAGGCUCUUCCCAAAUCCAGAGGACAUGGGCCUUCUGUUGAAGAUAAGCUCACAACAUCAAAGGAAGUUAAACGAUAAACUAUGUGAGUACGUAAAUGCCAUUAGAGAGAAUCAUCAGGUACCAUAAACAAAAGGGUUAGCACCCGAGGUGCUGAACUUGAUAGAACAAUCUAGAAGAGACAACAAAAUCAUCAUGUUUCAAGUAACUAAGGAGUUUUAAGAAUGGAGGAAGGAGGGGCGCCUAGGUGGCUCAGUAGGUUCAAUGUCUGACUCUUGAUAUCCGCUCAGGUCAGGAUCUUGCAGUCAUGGGACCACACUCAAUGCUGAGCACGGAGCCUGUUUAACAUUCUCUCUCUCCCUCCCUUUGUGCCCCUCCCCUGCUUACUCUCUCUCCCUCUCUUUUCUCUCUC